rnacentral:rRNA from 1 species
UACGGGGGGGGGCAAGCGUUGUUCGGAAUUACUGGGCGUAAAGGGCUCGUAGGUGGCCAACUAAGUCAGACGUGAAAUCCCUCGGCUUAACCGGGGGAACUGCGUCUGAUACUGGAUGGCUUGAGUUCGGGAGAGGGAUGCAGAAUUCCAGGUGUAGCGGUGAAAUGCGUAGAUAUCGUAAGGAAGACCAGGUGGCGAAGGCGGGUCUCUGGACAGUUCCUGACGCUGAGGCAGCGAAGGCCAGGGGGAGCAAACGGG